AUGAAGAUGGCGACUUGCAUUCGUAAGGUGGCCUCGGAGGAGUUUGGAGUGUCCAGGGGAAGGAGAAGCGAAGAUAAGGAUACCUGGUGGUGGAAUGAUGAUGUCCAGAAGGUGCUUAAAGAGAAGAAAGAUUGCUUCAGACGCCUAUACCUGGAUAGGAGUGCAGACAACAUAGAGAAGUACAAGAUGGCGAAGAAGGCCGCAAAGCGAGCUGUUGGUGAAGCAAGGGGUCGGGCAUAUGAGGACCUCUACCAACGGUUAGGCACGAAGGAAGGUGAAAGGGACAUCUAUAAGAUGGCUAAGAUCCGGGAGAGGAAGAUGAGGGAUAUUGGCCAAGUCAAAUGCAUCAAGGACGGAGCAGGCCAACUCUUGGUGAAGGACGAAGAGAUUAAGCAUAGAUGGCGGGAGUACUUCGACAAGCUGUUCAAUGGGGAGAAUGAGAGUUCUACCAUUGAACUGAAUGACUCCUUUGAUGAGACCAGCAUGCGUUUUGUGCGGCGCAUCCAGGAGUCUGAGGUGAAGGAGGCUUUAAAAAGGAUGAAAGGAGGCAAGGCGAUGGGCCCUGAUUGUAUCCCCAUUGAGGUGUGGAAAGGUCUCGGGGACAUAGCGAUAGUAUGGCUAACCAAGCUUUUCAACCUCAUUUUUCGGGCAAACAAGAUGCCAGAAGAAUGGAGACGGAGUAUAUUAGUACCAAUCUUCAAGAACAAGGGGGAUGUUCAGAGUUGUACUAAUUACCAUGGAAUUAAGCUGAUGAGCCAUACAAUGAAGCUAUGGGAGAGAGUCAUUGAGCACCGCUUGAGAAGAAUGACAAGCGUGACCAAAAAUCAGUUUGGUUUCAUGCCUGGGAGGUCGACCAUGGAAGCCAUUUUCUUGGUAUGA
rnacentral:rRNA from 1 species